GAAGACGAAUGACGGUACACCAAGAAUAAGAGACGGCUAACUACGUGCCAGCAGCCGCGGUAAUACGUAGGUCUCAAGCGUUAUCCGGAUUUACUGGGCGUAAAGUAUCCGUAGCCUGAUAUGUAAGUCUGUUUUCAAAUCCCACGACUCAAUCGUGGAAAGGGAAUGGAUACUGCAUAUCUAGAAGUUAUUGGGGGUUAGUGGAAUCUCCGGUGGAGCGGUGAAAUGCGUUGAUAUCGGAAAGAACGCCGAAAGCGAAAGCAGCUAACUAUGAUUAACUUGACGGUGAGGGAUGAAAGUUUGGGUAGCAAACGGGAUUAGAUACCCCGGUAGUCCAAACUGUAAAUUAUGCUUGCUAGGUGUUUCGAUCCUUGUGGUCGGAGUGCCGUAAUCUAACGAGUUAAGCAAGUCGCCUGGGUAGUAUAUUCGCAAGAAUGAAACUCAAAGGGAUAGGCGGGGGAACACACAAGCAGUGGAUUAUCUAGAUUAAUUGGAUAAUAAGCCAAGAAUCUUACCUAGAAUUGACAUGCAUUGUGUCUCAUAUGAAAGUAUGAUAUUUGUAGCAAUACAGAGCUUUGCACAGGUGGUGCAUGGUCGUCGUCAGCUCGUGCCGCAAGGUGUCCGGUUAA
rnacentral:rRNA from 1 species